AAAGAUUAAGCCAUGCAUGUCUAAGUAUAAGCAAUCAUACUGUGAAACUGCGAAUGGCUCAUUAAAUCAGUUAUCGUUUAUUUGAUAGUACCUUUACCUGGAUAACCGUGGUAAUUCUAGAGCUAAUACAUGCUAAAAACCUCGACUUCGGAAGGGGUGUAUUUAUUAGAUAAAAAACCAAUGCCCUUCGGGGCUCCUUGGUGAUUCAUAAUAACUUAACGAAUCGCAUGGCCUUGCGCCGGCGAUGGUUCAUUCAAAUUUCUGCCCUAUCAACUUUCGAUGGUAAGAUAGUGGCUUACCAUGGUCU
rnacentral:rRNA from 2 species